GGUCUUAUAGUGUAGUUGGUUAGCACACGGGAUUCUGACUUUCAAGAAGCUUCCCGGGACCCCGGUUCGAGUCCGGGUAGGACCU